CUUCUAAACAGCUUAACAACUGGGCUGUAUAUAGAUUGUCAAAGUUUACAAGACAAGGUGACUCUGAAAGUGAUCACUCAGGAUAUGUACGCCCUCUGCCAGUGCCUCGUAGUUUAAAUAGUGAUAUCUCGUAUUUUGGAGUUGGAGGCAAGCAAGCAGUGUUCUUCGUGGGACAGUCUGCCAGAAUGAUAAGCAAACCUGCAGCAUCUCAGGAUGUUCAUGAACUUGUCCUUUCUAAAGAGGAUUUUGAAAAGAAGGAGAAAAACAAAGAA